UUGGUUUGGGGAGGGGUCUGGAGGGUCCUGGAAGGGUCCUGGGUGGGGUCUUGGGAAGGGCCUGGGGGGUCCCAGGGGACAUCCUGGGCUGGGCCCGAUUGGGGUCUGGGGGCUCCCAGGGGGUCCUGGGCCAACCUUGGAGGGCUCAGGGGGGUUUGGGGUUCCUGGAGGGGUCCUGGGGGAGAUUUGGGGGUCCCGAGGGGUCCCAGGCCCACCCUGAACCGGGGUCUGGGGGUUUUUGGGGGGAGGGGGCACAAAAGGGGUUCCCCUUCCCCGUUUUUGGGGGGUCUCCCAUGGUGCCCCCUACCCAAAAAGCUCCGAGGGCCCCUGAAGUGGCUCCUGUUCCACCGGCCGGUGCCCCCGGAUCCAGGACGGCCCCCAGGGAGUCUGGGGGGGGGGAAGAGGCGCAGCGGCAGCAGGGAGCAGCCGGAGAAGAGCAGAGAAGGAAUCGCGGGGCCCUGGCGCUGCCUGAAGUCGCCGCAGCCCCGGGAGUAUCGCCCCCCAUCCCGCAGCCCAGGUGUUGGUAAUGCCGCUCUUGAAAUGAGUCCCCUUGUCUGACUCAGUCCUCUCAGGGGUGCCAUGCCUCCCCAGGACUUGCUUUUCCAGGCCCAGGAUGGUGUUGGGGCAGUGCUGUGAGGCACAGGGGAGGUCUCCAAGCAUCCCGUGGUGGCUUCUACCAUGGUGAGCACGUAGCGCUUGCCUUGGCGUGUCUGGGGCAGUGUGACGUGGUCAAUCUGCCAGGCCUCCCCAUACUUGUACUUGGACCCCCGCCCACCAUAGCACAGGGGCUUCACCCGCUUGGCCUCCUUGAUCACAGCACACGUCUCACAGUCAUGGAUAACCUGAGAAAUCCUGUCCGUGCUUAGAUCCACCCCUCGGUCUCAUGCCCACUUAUAGGUGGCAUCUCUGCCCUGAUGACCUGAGGCAUCGUGAGCCCAUCGAGCCAGGAACAACUGCCCCUUGUGAUGCCAAUCCAAGUCUAUCUUUGACACCUCUGUCUUUGCAGCCUGAUCUACCUGCUCGUUGUUUAAGUGCUCCUGAUUAGCCCGACUCUUGUAGACAUUGGCAUCUACAUGGCAGACUUCCACAGGUACCUUCUCCAUCCGAGAGGCAAUGUCUUUCCACUCAUCAGCAUUCCAGAUUGGUUUUCCUCUAAGCUGCCAGUUGGCCUUUUUCCUCCUUUCCAGGCAGCCCCACAGAGCAUUGGCUACCAUCCAUGAAUCGGUAUAAAGGCAGAGUUUUGGCCAUUUCUCUCUCUCAGCAAUGUCCAGGGCCAGCUGAACGGCCUUGAGUUCAGCAAGUUGACUUGAUCCACCUUCUCCUCAGUAGCUUGUGCAGCCUGUCGUGUGGGGCUCCAUACGGCUGCUUUCCACUUCUGGUUCAUCCCUACGAUGCGACAGGAACCGUCCGUGAAAAGAGCGUAGCGUGUUUCCUCUGCUGGUAGAUGGUUGUAUGGUGGAGCUUCUUCAGCCCAUGCCACUUGUUCCUGCUCCUCUUCAUCAGUGAGACCAAAGUUUUCACCUUC